rnacentral:misc_RNA from 1 species
GAAAUGCGAUAAGUAAUGUGAAUUGCAGAAUUCAGUGAAUCAUCGAAUCUUUGAACGCACAUUGCGCCCCCUGGUAUUCCGGGGGGCAUGCCUGUCCGAGCGUCAUUACUGCCCUCAAGCGCGGCUUGUGUGUUGGGCCGUCGUCCCCCGCGGGGGACGGGCCCGAAAGGCAGUGGCGGCACCGCGUCUGGUCCUCGAGCGCAUGGGGCUUUGUCACCCGCUCUGUAGGCCGGGCCGGGGCCUGCCGACCCUCCAUCUUCCUUCUAAGGUUGACCUCGGAUCAGGUAGGGAUACCCGCUGAACUUAA